ensembl:snoRNA SNORD18 Small nucleolar RNA SNORD18
GAGUAAUGAUGAGUUCCACUUCAUUGGUCCGUGUUUCUGAAUCUAAUGAUAUUGGUGGAAGUUCUGAUCUC